AACGAACGCUGGCGGCAUGCCUAACACAUGCAAGUCGAACGAGACCUUCGGGUCUAGUGGCGCACGGGUGCGUAACGCGUGGGAACCUGCCCUUAGGUUCGGAAUAACUCCCCGAAAGGGGUGCUAAUACCGGAUAAUGUCUUCGGACCAAAGAUUUAUUGCCCUGUGUUGGGCCCGCGUUGGAUUAGCUAGUUGGUAGGGUAAAAGCCUACCAAGGCUACGAUCCAUAGCUGGUCUGAGAGGAUGAUCAGCCACACCGGGAAUGAGACACCGCCCAGAAUCCUAAGGGAGGCAGCAGUGGGGAAUAAUGGAAAAUGGGCGAAAGCCUGAUCCAGCAAUGCCGCGUGAGUGAUGAAGGCCUUAGGGUUGUAAAGCUCUUUUACCCGGGAUGAUAAUGACAGUACCGGGAGAAUAAGCUCCGGCUAACUCCGUG
rnacentral:rRNA from 1 species